UACAGAGGUCCCAAGCGUUGUUCGGAUUCACUGGGCGUAAAGGGUGCGUAGGUGGCCAGGUAAGUUCGGUGUGAAAGCUCGGAGCUUAACUCCGAAAUGGCAUUGAAUACUAUCUGGCUAGAGGGUCGGAGGGGAGACUGGAAUUCUCGGUGUAGCAGUGAAAUGCGUAGAUAUCGAGAGGAACACCAGUGGCGAAGGCGAGUCUCUGGACGACACCUGACACUGAGGCACGAAAGCCAGGGGGAGCAAACAGG
rnacentral:rRNA from 1 species